ACCUUUUCCAGCCCACCGGAGCACCUGAAAGCUGAACUCAUUUAUGCAGGCUAAAAGUACAGCCCUGCAGCAUCAUUAAGCAUUUUAUUGCAGAAUACAUGUAUAUUGCUAUCAGCACGGUAUCCGUAUUACAGUAUCACUGUAGCCAUCUAAUAAUCCUGUGUCCUUUCCGUUCAGAAAAGACCAUUCCAGUGACAGCAGAUUCUAUUGCCAUGAGUCACAGCUGUUUUCCAGUAAUAAAAGAUCUCCAAGUUUGCUGAGAAGAGAGAAGAUGCAUCUUGCCAAAUGCAGUUUGACUGAGUCUGAUUUUACAGUAUGUCUAGUUAUAAGCGAACCAUAUUUAUUUUAAUGAUUAAUCUUUACAACUAUCUAGUAACGUGAAAGUUUCCACCUGUUCACAUAAUUAAAAAAAGUUUUACAACCACAAACCAUUAACAUGGGUCAUAGUGCAUUGCAAUAAUUCACCUUAACGAAUAUAAAGACUGAAUGACCUGACUUCACAUUCACUAAAAUACUUGUCAUUAUGACAUGUCCUAGGGAUAUGUCAAAAGUUUUGAUGGGUCGCGACCUGAGUGUUCAGACCCCGACCAAUAAGUAGAACAAGUGGA